GGCGUGCCUAAUACAUGCAAGUCGAGCGGACAGAAGGGAGCUUGCUCCCGGAUGUUAGCGGCGGACGGGUGAGUAACACGUGGGUAACCUGCCUGUAAGACUGGGAUAACUCCGGGAAACCGGAGCUAAUACCGGAUAGUUCCUUGAACCGCAUGGUUCAAGGAUGAAAGACGGUUUCGGCUGUCACUUACAGAUGGACCCGCGGCGCAUUAGCUAGUUGGUGAGGUAACGGCUCACCAAGGCGACGAUGCGUAGCCGACCUGAGAGGGUGAUCGGCCACACUGGGACUGAGACACGGCCCAGACUCCUACGGGAGGCAGCAGUAGGGAAUCUUCCGCAAUGGACGAAAGUCUGACGGAGCAACGCCGCGUGAGUGAUGAAGGUUUUCGGAUCGUAAAGCUCUGUUGUUAGGGAAGAACAAGUGCAAGAGUAACUGCUUGCACCUUGACGGUACCUAACCAGAAAGCCACGGCUAACUACGUGCCAGCAGCCGCGGUAAUACGUAGGUGGCAAGCGUUGUCCGGAAUUAUUGGGCGUAAAGGGCUCGCAGGCGGUUUCUUAAGUCUGAUGUGAAAGCCCCCGGCUCAACCGGGGAGGGUCAUUGGAAACUGGGAAACUUGAGUGCAGAAGAGGAGAGUGGAAUUCCACGUGUAGCGGUGAAAUGCGUAGAGAUGUGGAGGAACACCAGUGGCGAAGGCGACUCUCUGGUCUGUAACUGACGCUGAGGAGCGAAAGCGUGGGGAGCGAACAGGAUUAGAUACCCUGGUAGUCCACGCCGUAAACGAUGAGUGCUAAGUGUUAGGGGGUUUCCGCCCCUUAGUGCUGCAGCUAACGCA
rnacentral:rRNA from 1 species